UAAUAUGUAAAAAUAUACGACCAAAAAUGGAUUAUUUGUUUAUUAUAUGUAUCAUAGAGCAUACAGUGACAAACACAUUUUUUAUAAUUCUCAGACCAAGAGAUCACACAAGGGACCGAAUCGCCCCAAUCAGAUAGCUCGACUGGCCACAACUGCAGUCCAAAUACCAGAAUGCAUCCAUGCCACCUGGUUUUUGACAUUACUGCUGUGGACAGAUUUUCAGCAAUGCAGCCAUCCUGGUUGCUGAAGCCACAGAGGUAUUUUCAAGGACAAGAACCAAUGCUGAUCAAAACAUUGUCUAGUGAUGAUAUUCCAUACCCGUUCUUGGCAAGGAUUUUU